UACGGAGGGGGCUAGCGUUUGUUCGGAAUUACUGGGCGUAAAGCGCACGUAGGCGGCUUUGUAAAGUUAGAGGUGAAAGCCCGGGGCUCAACUCCGGAAUUGCCUUUAAGACUGCAUCGCUCGAGUUGUGGAGAGGUAAGUGGAAUUCCGAGUGUAGAGGUGAAAUUCGUAGAUAUUCGGAAGAACACCAGUGGCGAAGGCGACUUACUGGACACAUACUGACGCUGAGGUGCGAAAGCGUGGGGAGCAAACAGG
rnacentral:rRNA from 1 species